rnacentral:rRNA from 1 species
UACGUAGGGGGCAAGCGUUGUCCGGAUUUAUUGGGCGUAAAGAGCGUGUAGGCGGCUUGGUAGGUCUUGCGUCAAAACCUGAGGCUCAACCUCAGUUCGCGUGGGAAACCAUCUAGCUAGAGUCCGGAAGAGGAGAACGGAAUUCCCAGUGUAGCGGUGAAAUGCGCAGAUAUUGGGAAGAACACCAGUGGCGAAGGCGGUUCUCUGGGACGGUACUGACGCUAAGGCGCGAAAGCGUGGGGAGCGAACAGG